GCGUCAGUACAUACGUAGUAGACUGCCUUCGCAAUCGGUAUUCUGUGUAAUAUCUAUGCAUUUCACCGCUACACUACACAUUCUAUCUACUUCCAUAUGACUCAAGUCAACCAGUAUCAAAGGCAGUUCCAUAGUUAAGCUAUGGGAUUUCACCUCUGACUUAAUUGACCGCCUGCGGACCCUUUAAACCCAAUGAUUCCGGAUAACGCUUGCACCCUCCGUAUUACCGCGGCUGCUGGCACGGAGUUAGCCGGUGCUUAUUCUUACAGUACCGUCAAGGCUCUACACGUAGAGCUGUUUCUUCCUGUAUAAAAGCAGUUUACAACCCAUAGGGCCUUCUUCCUGCACGCGGCAUGGCUGGGUCAGAGUUGCCUCCAUUGCCCAAUAUUCCUCACUGCUGCCUCCCGUAGGAGUCUGGUCCGUGUCUCAGUACCAGUGUGGGGGAUCUCCCUCUCAGGACCCCUACCUAUCGUUGCCAUGGUAAGCCGUUACCUUACCAUCUAGCUAAUAGGACGCAUAGCCAUCUUUUACCGAUAAAUCUUUAAUUAAAAACUCAUGCGAGUCUUUAAUACUAUAAGGCAUUAAUCUUCAUUUCUAAAGGCUAUUCCUCUGUAAAAGGUAGGUUCUAUACGCGUUACGCACCCGUGCGCCGGUCGUCAGCGGAGCAAGCUCCCUGUUACCCCUCGACUUGCAUGUGUUAAGCCUGCCGCUAGCGUUCAUCCUGAGCCAGGAUCAAACUCU
rnacentral:rRNA from 1 species